AGAUUAAGUUAUUAAGGGCGCACGGUGGAUGCCUUGGCACUAGAAGCCGAUGAAGGACGUUACUAACGACGAUAUGCUUUGGGGAGCUGUAAGUAAGCUUUGAUCCAGAGAUUUCCGAAUGGGGAAACCCAGCAUGAGUUAUGUCAUGUUAUCGAUAUGUGAAUACAUAGCAUAUCAGAAGGCACACCCGGAGAACUGAAACAUCUUAGUACCCGGAGGAAGAGAAAGAAAAUUCGAUUCCCUUAGUAGCGGCGAGCGAAACGGGAAGAGCCCAAACCAACAAGCUUGCUUGUUGGGGUUGUAGGACACUCUAUACGGAGUUACAAAGGACGACAUUAGACGAAUCAUCUGGAAAGAUGAAUCAAAGAAGGUAAUAAUCCUGUAGUCGAAAAUGUUGUCUCUCUUGAGUGGAUCCUGAGUACGACGGAGCACGUGAAAUUCCGUCGGAAUCUGGGAGGACCAUCUCCUAAGGCUAAAUACUCUCUAGUGACCGAUAGUGAACCAGUACCGUGAGGGAAAGGUGAAAAGCACCCCGGAAGGGGAGUGAAAUAGAACCUGAAACCGUGUGCUUACAAGUAGUCAGAGCCCGUUAAUGGGUGAUGGCGUGCCUUUUGUAGAAUGAACCGGCGAGUUACGAUUUGAUGCAAGGUUAAGCAGUAAAUGUGGAGCCGUAGCGAAAGCGAGUCUGAAUAGGGCGUUUAGUAUUUGGUCGUAGACCCGAAACCAGGUGAUCUACCCUUGGUCAGGUUGAAGUUCAGGUAACACUGAAUGGAGGACCGAACCGACUUACGUUGAAAAGUGAGCGGAUGAACUGAGGGUAGCGGAGAAAUUCCAAUCGAACCUGGAGAUAGCUGGUUCUCUCCGAAAUAGCUUUAGGGCUAGCCUCAAGUGAUGAUUAUUGGAGGUAGAGCACUGUUUGGACGAGGGGCCCCUCUCGGGUUACCGAAUUCAGACAAACUCCGAAUGCCAAUUAAUUUAACUUGGGAGUCAGAACAUGGGUGAUAAGGUCCGUGUUCGAAAGGGAAACAGCCCAGACCACCAGCUAAGGUCCCAAAAUAUAUGUUAAGUGGAAAAGGAUGUGGCGUUGCCCAGACAACUAGGAUGUUGGCUUAGAAGCAGCCAUCAUUUAAAGAGUGCGUAAUAGCUCACUAGUCGAGUGACACUGCGCCGAAAAUGUACCGGGGCUAAACAUAUUACCGAAGCUGUGGAUUGUCCUUUGGACAAUGGUAGGAGAGCGUUCUAAGGGCGUUGAAGCAUGAUCGUAAGGACAUGUGGAGCGCUUAGAAGUGAGAAUGCCGGUGUGAGUAGCGAAAGACGGGUGAGAAUCCCGUCCACCGAUUGACUAAGGUUUCCAGAGGAAGGCUCGUCCGCUCUGGGUUAGUCGGGUCCUAAGCUGAGGCCGACAGGCGUAGGCGAUGGAUAACAGGUUGAUAUUCCUGUACCACCUAUAAUCGUUUUAAUCGAUGGGGGGACGCAGUAGGAUAGGCGAAGCGUGCGAUUGGAUUGCACGUCUAAGCAGUAAGGCUGAGUAUUAGGCAAAUCCGGUACUCGUUAAGGCUGAGCUGUGAUGGGGAGAAGACAUUGUGUCUUCGAGUCGUUGAUUUCACACUGCCGAGAAAAGCCUCUAGAUAGAAAAUAGGUGCCCGUACCGCAAACCGACACAGGUAGUCAAGAUGAGAAUUCUAAGGUGAGCGAGCGAACUCUCGUUAAGGAACUCGGCAAAAUGACCCCGUAACUUCGGGAGAAGGGGUGCUCUUUAGGGUUAACGCCCAGAAGAGCCGCAGUGAAUAGGCCCAAGCGACUGUUUAUCAAAAACACAGGU
rnacentral:rRNA from 1 species